CCACGAUCCGCGCCUCCCUCCCCUCCUUCCAGAUUCUCCGUUCCCGGCCUCUAACGUCCGCUCGCAACCAAACCCCCGUGGCUAGGGUUUCGGGCUGGGCUUCGCCGGCGCGUCUCCGGCGGCCCCAGAUGCAGAUGGAGCACGCCAUGGGAGUUCCCCAUCCACCACGGUCACCACCGUCAAGUGCUUCUUCACGGAGAUGUGAAGGACGCCAAGGACCUGCAGCUACUCAAGGUUUUAUCUUGUCCCCAUCCUAUCCCCUCCCCUUGCCGCCCCUUCUUCAUUGGAUGACCAGAUGCACAACCACAUAUGUUUUUUGAUUCAGGCUCAUAGGGUCUAGAUUUGAAUGUAAAACUACCUGACUUUACCAUUAACAGAUUGGAAGCACGAUUAUCGCUGCAAUUUUUUUAGUCAUGGCAUAUUUUCUCUUAUAUGUGUUUGUUGAUGAUUAAUCAUCAAAGGUUAUACGCGUGUUUCGUCCCAAGCACAAGUCCUUCUUUCACAUAUCCCUUUUGUCAUAUGUCUUCUUGAUGCAAAGAGGCUCAGCUUGCUACUGAUGGAUUGCAGCUUACCAAAUUUGAUUUGGUUUGGUACAAUGGAUGUUUGGUAUUGAUGUUGAAAGAAUACUUCACUUUCUGUAAUUUCUGAUGUUCAGAUUAUACCGAAUGAAUGCUACCAGAUUCCAUAUUUGUUCUAGAGAUAUUAUUGAUCUUUUCAUGCACCAAUUGUUCAAGUAGUGUCUUUCUGCUAAAAGCUUUAUAUUGCCCUGUGUGUCCUUUUGUCCGUACCUUUUUCCAGUAAUUUUCUCUGUUAACCUUGGGCCAGCUCAUUUGUGUGUGCUUCAUGUAUAUGCUCAUGCUUUUGAUGCUGCUGGACUUUGGAAUGCAUCCGCACAGUAACUUUCUGGGUAUGCUUGCAUUCAGGUUGUCAUUAGUUACGAGAUGGUACAUCAGUGUCUCCACUCUAGAGAUGAAUAUAAUACGCCAAAACACAGAAAUUAUUCCGUUCAAAGUGAAUGACACGGCGUAAAUCAAACAUGCGCUGAGCCUACUAAUGCGACUACCAGUACUGUUGCACUACUAGAACCCAAUGGCAUGAUGGUGCAGCAAAUAUGGUUUUUUAUUAGAUAGUUUUCUGCACUGUAUAUGUGAUGAAUUCACAAAUUUAUGAUUUUGAGGUACUGGUGAAGGUAGAUUCAAAUGAGUGAUGCAAAUUCAGAAUUGCAUAGGUAGUGCCUACGACUGACUAAGGGUACAUGAGUUGGAAGAAAGUCCAAGCAGAAGGAACUCCUGCAGAUGCCCAGGCUGCUACUGUGCCUAUCUUAAGGGGAAAUGAAAGGACGAUGCGCCGUACAUUCUAGAUUAUUUAUCAGUGUUAAUCCGUAUUAACUAAUUUUAUAGCCAUUGUAAUUAGCAAUAGAGAAAUGUUUGCUGAUAUUUUUUACCUGCGAGACCAUAGUACUUUCUUGUUUUCUUUCUGUAAUAAGUGCGAGAUACGAGCAAUAAUAAUAUAUUGGAGUUUAUUCAUGGAUGAAGCGGUUCAUCUCAAGAUAUAUAACAUUCAUGUUUCCCUUCCUAAUGUUUCUUUGGUGAAGUCAUAACCUAUUUAUGUUUCAAUGGAAUUCUGUUCAAUUUGCAAUUGUUUCCUACUAUGCAGGGUGAUCUUGACCUGAUUUUGCUUUCGAACUGAAUUGUGGUAAUCAAGCAGGGAGACGAGACGCUGUUGAGCUGUUUUUCGGUAGAUUUGAGCUACCUAGAGUUGAGCUAGGCACCAGACGAGCAGAAGCACAAACGUAGGAGGUAUCCAACAACGGCAACCGCAACGCCAUUCCACUUAAACCUGGAGACCAGAGAAAGGAUGCGGUACCACUGCUCUUCUUUCUCCUUACUAAAUCUCUGAAAAGGGAUGCUCAUAUAAUUACUAAUAAUUUAGUUGCAAGUCUUCUGUAAGAGCCUUGAUGUACUUUAUCUCAUGGUUUGGGUUGUGAAAGAAUUUUGGAAGGACCACAAGGUAGUCUUCAGUUCAGUUUGUCCAUUUAUAGUGUUGAUGUAUCUAGCUACUUGUAUCUGCUUUCUUUUGUUGUAAAAUGAAAUAGCAUUCUUGCUGAUCAAUGAAAUUAGAAAAUCAACAGACUACAUUGUUCCUUUUUUUCUUUUCUUUUUCUAUCCUUGAAGAUAUUUAAUGAUGUGAUCUGAAACUUUUAGUUUUGUUCUAUUAUGCAAAGUUAAGAGUUUUCGGGAUAAAAUUCUAAUUUGGGCCACUCUCUUUUUUACAAGAGUUCUAGGAAAAUUUACAUUGAAAUUUGUCACAUGCAAACUGGAGGAAGGGGCAAUAAGCAGAGAAUUCCCCUCAAGAUGUGAACUGCAUUGAUGCCCUCGGUAUGUGUGUUGCUACUGCUGAAUGAUGCUCCCUUGUCGUUGUUGCUAUAGUACGAUUUAGUACAGCUUGUCUAAAUGGGUUAGAAGAGGGGUUAUGAAAUGUUUUGUUGGAGUUUAAAUAUUCUUUCAUGUAUUAAACUGAUAAGUUGUGCACUUUUGCUGCUGUUAGAUAAACUGACUACUCUGUACUGUUGGAUAGCCAUGGUAUGUGUUAGUUUUAUUUUACCACAAAAGUUUCUUGGGAGUUGGGAUAUCAGGUGUAUUCAUUACUUUUCCUAUGAAUAUAUUCUAUUUUGGUGCACUGUAUAUCUAUCUAAUCUAUCUAUCCAAGUUUUCAAAGAAAUUGAUGGCGGCGGCUCGGCCGUGUCGUGGUGAAUGGCGAAGCUUCGAAACUGAACAUGAGAAAGGUGUUGACGCGCGGCUGGGAGACGUACAUACUUGAGGAAAUAUGAUUCAUAAGGUUUCAUAUUAACGAAAACUGAUAAUCUGAACAUUUUGUUUAUUCCUGGAUGACUUUAUUCUCCAAUAUGAAUAUGUAAGAAAAGAUAUGACAUACAUUUGUGUAAAUUGAUAAUGUAGGGUCAUCUCGAAACUUUAUUAUUUUUUCAAGAUUGAUUUACUUGGUGGUGUUAACUUCCAUUUUCUCGAAACAGGACAUGUGUUCUAUUUCUGAAAAAAGAAGCUUCUCUGUUAGCUAGCAUCCCCGACGGUACUUUUAGACUGGAUGUAGACCAGUAGGGUCAAUUAAAAAUUGUUGGCUAUAGAUGACUUUAAGUUUCUAGCUUUCAUAAAAUGUAGACGUGUACGUACUCUAACAGUAUGUCGUGGUUGAUGAUGGUCCUAUGUACUGGUUGAAAUUAUCAUGUUGGAUAAUAUUGCUUA